rnacentral:rRNA from 1 species
GACGAACGCUGGCGGCGUGCCUAAUACAUGCAAGUAGAACGCUGAAGAGCGGAGCUUGCUCUUCUUGGAUGAGUCGCAAACGGGUGAGUAACGCGUAGGUACCCUGCCUGGUAGCGGGGGAUCACUAUUGGAAACGAUAGCUAAUACCGCAUAAAAUUGAUUAUUGCAGGAUAGUUAAUUGAGAGUUGCAACUGCAUCACUACCAGAUGGCCCUUCGUUGUAUUAGUUAGUUGGUGAGGUAACGGCUCACCAAGGCGACGAUACAUAGCCGAACUGAGAGGGUGGUCGGCCACACUGGGACUGAGACACGGCCCAGACGGCUACAGGAGGCAGCAGUAGGGAAUCUGCGGCAAUGGGGGGGAAACUGACCGAGCAACGCCGCGUGAGGGAAGAAGGUUGUCGGAUCGGAAAGCUCUGUUGUAAGAGUAGAACGGGUGUGCGAGUGGAAAGUUCACAGUGUGACGGUAACUGAUAAGAAAGCAACGGCUAACUACGUG